rnacentral:rRNA from 1 species
UACGUAGGGGGCAAGCGUUGUCCGGAUUUAUUGGGCGUAAAGAGCGUGUAGGCGGCUAGGUAGGUCCGUUGUGAAAACUCGAGGCUCAACCUCGAGACGCCGAUGGAAACCAUCUAGCUAGAGUCCGGAAGAGGAGAGUGGAAUUCCUGGUGUAGCGGUGAAAUGCGCAGAUAUCAGGAGGAACACCAGUGGCGAAGGCGGUGCUCUGGGCCGGAACUGACGCUGAGGAGCGAAAGCGUGGGGAGCAAACAGG